rnacentral:lncRNA from 1 species
ACGAUGCAAGCCCUCUCAUGAAUAGAUGUAAAAUGCAUCCAUUGAUCCGUUACAGGCUUAUCUCGGAGGCAGAAGAAGCAGGGCUCUUCUAUUUUGAGUCGAAGGAUAAAACUUCUCAUGAGGAUCUCAAAAAUUUAAGCAGCAGCCGCCUGCGCUUAAUAGUAGGUGGAGAAGACAGUCCACAAUAUGAAAAACUAGCCAAAGAUGAACAUGUACACACGGUGUUCAAUGUCAAUCAGCAAUACCUUAAACUCCAAUCCCGUUUGCUUUUGAACAUGAAACAAUUGGCAGUUCUUCAACUAGGACGAUGGCAGCACUCGCCAAAUUAUCAUAUUGAAGUUGAUGAUCAGAAAUUCUUGGAUGAUCUUGGGGUUCAUCACAAGCAUUUGAAGUUCCUAAGCCUUCGAGGAAUUUCUAGGAUCACAGCUCUUCCUGAUUCUAUUGUAGAACUAGUCAGCCUGGAGAUUCUUGACCUCCGAGCAUGCCACAAUUUGGAGAAGUUGCCUGAGGAUAUAGCAUCUUUGAAGAAGCUAACGCAUCUGGAUGUAUCGGAGUGUUACCUUAUAGAGCGCAUGCCGAAAGGAACGGAGAAACUGUCCUCCCUCCAGGUCUUAAAGGGGUUUGUUUUAGGGACUGCGAGGAAAAAUCCUUGCAGGAUCAGCGAUUUGGGAAAAUUGAAGGAAUUGAGAAGGCUAAGUAUAUACAUAGGCCGUGGAGCAGCCAUAGGGGAUGGAGAAUUUGCAUCGUUGAAGGGCAUUGCAUCCCUUUGCUCCCUAACCAUCUCUUGGGGAGUCACUUCUCUGGUGUCGCAAUCAAGUCUUCUGAUAAAUCAGUUUCUUCCAGAACAAUUGGAGAAACUAGAGCUCAUAGGAAUGCCAGAAAAAAGCACACCAAAGUGGUUGAACCCUCAAGAGUUGAAGAACCUGAAGAAGCUGUACAUCAUUGGAGGGGAACUGGCAAGCUGGGAUCACCAGCAACAGAAUGAGCAAUGGUCAGUUGAGAUAUUGCGGCUGAAACACCUCAAGAAUUUGAGCAUCGGAAACAAGGAAGAUGUGCUGAAAAGGUUUCCUCGGUUAGGAUACUUCGAGAAAAAAAAUUGUGCUGACAAUGAUAUCUCGUGGUACUAGAGUAGGGCAGUUUAGAAACUAUUGUGAACAGUUAUCAAGAAGCCCAGGGGAGAGAGAACCAGAGUUCGUGCAGAAACUGUUCUUAUUUGACGAGGGAUGUAGUUAGAGUAACCAUGUACCAAUACUGUAACAUGACAAAUGAAUAGUCCUUUGCUAUUGAAGCUUUAUCUUACUUCAUUGCUGGUCUAAUUUUCUUUUGUAAUGACUUGCCGUGGUUAUACGAUUGCUGCUCAUAAAGAUUGUUUCUCCGCCUAUUUGAUUAGAGUACUAGUUACAGGUAUUAGCAGAGUUUCUUUUAAUAGCUGAAUCAUUUAUAUUGGUUAUGUUGUAGCUGAGUAGAACGAGCCUUUGUGGGGGCAAGAAUGUAAUACAAUUUCAAUCUGAUGAUUUGGCAUGGAAGAGUAAAAUAAAGUCACAUCCCCUGUUGGAGAACUCAUGUAUAUUCAAUUCACAAAAACUCAGCAUAAAAGGGUGUUACAUAUGCAGAAAAGUUCACGAGUAGAAGAAUUUGUAAAUGCAUAAAUGGUGAUGAUAUCCUACAUAAAUGCAUCGGCUAAUUAUAUAGGUGGAAGUACAGAGACGUUGGCAUUUCAAGGAGGAGGAAAUGAUGGGGAGAGAGGGAGAGAGGGAGAGAAAGAGCAGCCAACAUCUUGGGACAGCUUUCUAGUUUCUAUCAAUCCCUGCGGAAGCCUGAGCAGGUAACAGUGAGCCAAAGCCAUGGCCUUUGAUGUAACCUGAAACCUCUCUCAUCCAAGUGAUACUUUUCAAUGUAGUUCCUAGACAUCUUCGAACAUUGUUCUGUCUCCAGUGGCUUAAGAUGAUACACGUAAAUGUAAUGACGGGAAGGUGAGUUCGUCCAUGAAGAGGAAAAAGGAAUUGCGGGGAGGAGAGGGAAAUUUUUGCGUGUAGCCAUUUAGGACGUCCCGACAAGUUAAAACUUCAAAUUACAGCACCCAGAGCUGUAAAGGAGUCGGAAGCAACAGAGCUUCUGGAAGCUAUGAACCGUUUACCAACCGGCCAACCGGCCAAACUUACCUGCUUGGGGUUAAGAAGCCCAAGGGACGAAAACUACCUUUAUUCAUUGCUUCUCCCUUGUAAUUAUGGAAAUUCUUGAACAAAUGCCGUUGUAAUCUUUGUAUUUACCUGAUAUUAUUGUUCUUUCAUUUGAGACGGUUUUGAACGUCAUAUUAUCAAGUCGUAGUUGGGCAAAUCCAUGAUUAAUAACUUGAAGCCAAGUGUAGGAAGUCAAACAUUUUAUAUUUGCCUUUAUUUGCGGUAAAAUAAAAAGGGAAGCCGAUGCCUUCCGCAUGAGACUAAUCAAGAUCUGUAAUUUGGCUUUUCUGGCUUUUUUGGAUUUUCUCCCAUUAAUUUGUUUUGUGAAAAGUGAAUAAUUUAAAAAAUUGUUUGCAUUGCUUGAAAUAUAUUAGUUAAUGAUAUUUUUUAAUUAUUGACAUAAAUUUAUGUUUAAAUAUUUUUAUGGAUAAUGAAAAUAUUUUUCAUAUAUUCAAUUUUUAUGAACGAUAUAAGCGAUCAUUUUUAAAAAAAUAUUUUUCAAAUUAUUUAUUUUUUGCACAACAAUCGCAACCUUAGUUCUCUUUGAAUUUCUUCAGAAAUUAUCUCUUAAUUUGUAAGUAUGUCUCUUCACGGGGUAAAGAGAAUGUUGUAAUAUAAUAUGUUGAAAUGAUAGGGUCAUGUAGAUAAGUUAAUGGGAGUAUUUUUUUUUGUUUUUGAUGGCCCUGGAACUCCCGUACAGCUGGCAACCGGCGAAAUAAACCAGGGGCGGCUGCUAGCCCAGGACCCACGUACUUGCAUUCUUGAGAAAAUUUAAUAGCAAAUAAUUAAUUAUAAUUGAAAAUUUAGCAUUACAAUCACUUACGCGUUUAGAUAUUCUUUAUACCUAAAUUUAAGGCUAAAUUUAAAGUAUUUAUAAAUAAAUAACUCAAUAGAAUGUAAAACUCGCAGCACAAAUAAUCGGUUUUCAAGUCCCAAGCAAAGGGCUAUAUGUACGCCAAAAAUCAAGAACUCCUCUACUGAUCGUCUUUCUUUGCGUAUAGCGGCUCCUUCAACGCUUCUCGGCUUUGUGCGGCUCUCCUCUUAAGGACUACUUGGCUACUUAAAGUAGAAAAAAAGAAAUCUUUUCUAUUUUUGUUGGACAAAGACUUAGGCCCUGUUUGUUAAUGUUCUUUAUUUCUGUUUAUGAACAAAAUUUAUAUUUUUUUUUUCCAGGGAACAAAAAAAGAACAGAAACGUGUUUGUUUGCGUUUUUGUUUCAAAUCUAUUUUUUUUGUUCUCAGGAACAUAUUUGGAACAGAAACAAGAAACAAGAAAAACGUGUUUGUUGUUUAUGGAAUAAUUUUUAAGAAUAAAUUUUCUCUCUCCUCUAUUUUUUUUUUCUUUUUUUUUUCUUAUUUUCUUUUUCUUUGGCUGAUCGUCGGCCUCGGCCGUGGCCGGUGACCAACCGUCGAGGGCCGGCGACCUUGCCGGAGCAUCGCCGGCCCCUAACGAGGCUCGCCGGCCUGGCGGUGGCUCGGCGAGGCUGAGCCUUGCUCGCCCAGAUCCGGCGAGCCUCGCCCUGGCUGGGCGAGGCCGCCGGCCAAAAGAAGAAAAAAAGAAAAAAGAAAAAAAAGAAAGAAAAAUAAAAUAAAAAUAUUAAAAAAUUAAAAGAAACAAAAAAAAAGAACACAAAUUUAUCAAACGUGUUUCUGUUCAUUUUUUAUUUCUGGAACAAGUUUAUCAAACGCGUUUUUUUAUUCAAAAAUUAUUCCCCAGAACAAAAUUACUUUUUUUAUUUUAUUUCUAUUUCCUGAUGCAAUUUUUAAACAUAAAUAGAUAUAACGGAAAAAGUGCGCCCCUUAUUUUGUCUUUUAGCGGCAGGGCUCUUCGCGAUCAAAUUUUGGAAAACACGGUCUUCCAUCGACGAGCCAUUGCCUCAGAUUUAAAGCUCGUCCUGGAGAUGAAGAUCAACGAGUUCCUCCAGAUCUCCACCAUCUUAUCUCAUAUUCACCCUUCUCUCUCGAUCCAAACUCAACCCAACAUCGAUCCACUCUCUCGCUCACUCAAAGUUUAUAUUUUUGUCCCCAGUCCGAUGCGUAAAUGAAGGCUCCGACCACAUGUCGGUGACCCGAGCGAGACCCAGAUGGGAAAACACGCUUUCUGCUCCGACCUGUUAUUGCUUGCUUCAUUCUGAACAGAGAAAGAAAAACAGAUGAUGUUUCAUACUGUGGACGGAACAGUGCUUUAUGUAUCGAAGGCCGUGAGCGACGGCUCGUUCGGUUGGCUCGGACGCAGCCGGUGACUCCACCGGGUACUGAACGAGGUAGAUGGCGGUAGACGGAUGAGGAAAAUGAGGGAGGAAACACAGGAGUUAAUUUUUUAUUUUUGUUUAUUUACUUGCCACGGCACGGACACGUGUCAACUUUUAAUUGACUUUAAGAAUAAAAAUAUAUGCUAUGUCAUCCUAUCACAUUCUGAUUUCUCCAUCUACUACUUACGGUGCCAGUUUAUUAGGGCGCGCAUGACAAAAUUUCUAUUUCUCGAUUUCUUUGUUUCUCUGUUUCUCUGUUUCCGGAACAGGUGUGGAACAGAAAUCCAUUUAGUAACACAAUUUGAUUUCUCUAUUUCUGAAACAGAUUUCUUUACAGAAAUAGAGAAAUUAAAGAAAUCAGAAACUGGAAUUUUUAACUUCUCAGUUUCUGAAAUAUAAAUCAGAAACUAAAAUCAAACCAUAUAAAAGAUCCUUGCGCUUUCUUGCUAACUUAAUUCACUCAUAACCACAACUUCACAAAUUAUUGCUAAUUUUCUUUUAUUAUUUUGCUCAUGCUUUUGUUUGCAUUUUUUUUUAACUUUUUUUUAAUAACUUCCUCUUUAGGAUGAAAGUCCUCAAUUUUCAAAAACGACCAAAGUUCUUAAGUGCUUACUUAAAAACAAUGGGGCUCUUUCUUCCUAGAAAAGGCACACACAUGGCCAGUUGAAGAAAAAGUUCUUACGUAAUAGAUGAAUAAAAAACGUGCCUAGAAAUUUAACCUUAUUUUUUUACGGAUUCAAAAUUCUUGCAAAAUCAAAAUAAUUAGAUUGUUACACAAUCUUGAAUUUUAAUUCGAAGGCAAGAGAUUCAAGAGAAUCUCUCUCUUUGCUAUGGAAUGGCCAUUAAAGGUUCAUUGAGCAACAAUAAAGAAAUUAGGGAUGAGCAACUAGACUGAUUCAAUUUGAGAAUAAAAAUAAACCGACCUUCCCCCGAUUGGUUCCUAACCAUAAACGUUAUUUUAAGGUAGAAUUAUCAUAUAUUACUUUACACCAUUAAUUUUAUUUUGUUGAUAAUCUUGUAUAAUACUAGUUUUUGAUAAAAUGACAAGGAUGUAUAGGCGCCAUUGAUGGCACUCAUAUUCAUGCUUCCGUAGUACUUGUCUGAACCUACACAGGAUGAGCUUGCAAAUGAUACAUUGACCACGCAGGAUGAGCUUGCAAAUGAUACAUUGACCGAGAAGGGAAACCAAAUAAAUACGCUUAGGAAAACAAUUGUUAAUAAAAUGGCAAUGGAUAAUAAUAUGCCGGAAAUUUCAUGAAAUUCCAUGAAAUUGUAUUUUCAACUUUUAUAAUGUAUUAGUAUUAUUUCGACUAUUAUUUUGUAUUUGAGGAUUUCCUAUGUUGUUAUCUAAUCAAUUUCUAUUCUUAAAAAUAGAAAUUUUGUUCUGUUAUCAAACGGAUUUUUGUUUUAAAAAUAGAAAUUUUGAGUCAUUAUCAAAUGGGUUUCUUUGCUCGGAAACUUGUCCGGGAACUAGAAAUUAAGAAAUUGAUUUAUUGCCAGAAAUGAAUUUCUGUUUCAGAAAUUUUGUCAUGCGCAGCCUUAAUAUUCAAAUAUGGGUCACCGAAUUUGUAAGAAUUGCUUUCUUGACUUAGUCAAAGAAUGGGUCCAGAAACCAAAAAGAGGGGCAAAAGAAAAUGAAAAGAUAAGUGGAUGUUCAGCUAUUAAAGGGAAAAAGCACAUGCACGGGAAGGAAAGAGAAAAGAGAGUGGAACGAAAGGAAACAGAGAAAGAAGAAGAGGAAGAAGGAAGAAAGGGAUUCCAUGUACACGAUCUGGAUAUUCCAACAAGCCAACUCAACUCCGAAUUGCGACGCCGGUAAGGAUUCAAGCCUUUCGUACUUGUAAUCGGAAAAGUUUUUGGAAUUAAGACUUAAAGUCGGAAUCAAAUGAAAUUUGAGUUGCGAACUCCGAUUAUGGAGUUGUUAAACUGAAAAAUUAUGGGGUUUUGAUAGUUUAAGGUGAUGUGGAGUUAUAGCAUUUUACGGAAUUCGAUUUGAGCUUAUGAUUUGUCCAAAAAGAGUUUUGGACGUUUCCACGCACGAUGAACAGUAGACUUUCAGCAACUUUUGAGCCAAAAUUUGUUGAUUUUCGGCUAAAUUUUAGGUUGGCCAAGUUAUGAGUGUUCUAGUGUUUGGAAAAAUCUUUCUUUUGACUGUAAGCUCAUUUGGAACGGAUUUAGGUGAGAGAGUUAUGGCACGAUCAAGUUAUGCACUCAAGUCCCAUGUUGCGAACGGCUCUAAAUAAUCGCUUUGAACGAGUGAUUUGUGAGCACCUGUGAGUCGUUUUAUUAGCAUUUAAGCUUAAUUUAGUUAAAUCGUAAUUGAUGUAGUGUUUUACUUUAUUUUAAUGUUGGGUCUCACUUAUUUAAUAGGAUGACGAGUUCAAAUGGUUCAGGUAUUCUCCGAUGAUUUGUCAUAGGCAUUCCAGGUGAGUGCUAUCUCAAAAUAUUAUAUAUAUAUUGAUUUGUGAAUAUUGAUUUAUGAAGAAUUCUAAAAUGAUGCAAAAAAUAUAUUGUGAGUUGUGUUCAGUUUGAUGAACGAAAUUUAGAAAGAUUAUGCUUUUUGUUUUGUGAAAUCAAUUGCACAUUGAUUUUGGAUUUGAUUAUUGAUAUUGGAAAAUGUGAGUUUGAUGCUCAAUAUUUUUGUAGGUAUGCAUAUUGAUUUAGGAUAUCCUUUUUAACCGAGUCACCGGCUUUGUAAGUGAAGAUCUUGCCAUUGAUCUGUCACUAGGCAUUAUAUUAUAACCAUGGUAUGAUAUUAAGCAAAAGAUUGGUUGCUGAAUGGAACAUUGGAGUGUGUUUUGAUAUAAGAUGGAUCAAUGAAUUAGACUAUUGAUGUGUGAUUUUGAUGAGAUUGAUCAAUGGAUUUGAUCAUUCAUAUUUAUGAUGAUUUAGGUGAGUAUUUUCCGAAUUGUGUAAAGCUUGUUGAAAUGAAACAAGUCAUACAUGAUUUUGUUAUGUAUAUUAUAGAGUUAGAUCAUGAAUUUUCUGGUAGUGCUUGACUAUGCAUAAAAGAGAUUAAUUACUCACUGAGUUGUGGGUGCUCGCUCACUUAUCUCUUUCUCGUUCUUUUCAGAUUUACUAUGGGAACUUUUGGGAGUUAAAUUUGGUGGUUUGAGGCUACGUGUCCUUCGGUGGUGUCAUCCCUUUUAUGCUAAGAUUCACGGUGUGACAAUAUCUUGAAUCCUAUUCCUAGAUAGAUCAUUUCACCGUAAUAAUGGAAAAGUCUCUGUAUGAAUCCAUGUCUGGUGACACUAAAGAUAGGACUAAAGUGCAAUCCUGGGAAGAGAUCGUGCAGGCCAUGCGCAACGACAUGAAUACCGACCCGUCUGAAGACCAGCUCGUCACGUUAGAGGGCCUUGUGCAAGGUUACAGGAAGGUGAAAUCAUUUUCGAAACAUCGAAAGAAUCAAAGGGAAGUUCCACUUCCAAUACUAUCUGAAGGUUGGCGUGAACGGGCCGAAGAAAGCAAGAACCUUCCUAUGCUUAGUCAACCCAAUGAAUGGAGUUCUCCGUUGAAGCGCUGCCUUCCUUCUUUUGCGAUUUUCCCUGAAAAUUCAAUUAUAAAGAAAAGAAGUUUAAUAUAUUGGUGGAUAGGACAGGACUUAGUUUCCCAAAGAGGAGAGAAGACGGCAGAGCAAGUAGGUGAAGAAGUCUACAAUGAGCUCCUACAAGGAGGCCUAAUUGAACCCGACGAUAACGAUCCAAGCCCUCUCAUGAAUAGAUGCAAAAUGCAUCCAUUAAUCCGUUACUGGCUUAUCUCGAAGGCAGAAGAAGAAGGGUUCUUCUAUUUCACGAAGGAUAAAACUUCUUCUGAGGAUCCCGGAAAUUUAAGCAGCGGCCGCCUGCGCUUAAUAGUAGGUGGCUUAAUAGUAGGUGGAGAAGACGGUCCAAAACAUAUAGAUAUGGCUAACGAUGAAGAUGUACACACGGUGUUCAAUGUCAAUCAGCAAUACCUUAGCCUCCAACCCCGUUUGCUUUCGAACAUGAAAAAAUUGGCAGUUCUUCAACUAGGACGAUGGCAGCACUCGCCAAUGCAUCAUAUUGAAGUUGAUGAUCAGAAAUUCUUGGAUGAUCUUGGGGCUCAUCACAAGCAUUUGAAGUUCCUAAGCCUUCGAGGAAUUUCUAGGAUCACAGCUCUUCCUGAUUCUAUUGUUGAACUAGUCAGCCUGGAGAUUCUUGACCUCCGAGCGUGCCACAAUUUGGAGAAGUUGCCUGAGGAUAUAGCAUCUUUGAAGAAGCUAACGCAUCUGGAUGUAUCAGAGUGUUAC